AUUGUGUUGCAAUGCUAAUUCAACAUAGUACGAGGGGAAUAGUUGAUUUGCAUAAAUGGUCAUCGCGCUUGGUUGAAAAGCCAAUGGCGCAAAGCUAUCGUGCGGUGGAUUAUGACUGAACGGCUCUAAGUCAUAAUCCGGGCCAGAAUCGACGUGUUAUCCACUGCUCGUUUGCCGAUCAGCAGCAGGGGCCCUCCGGCCCCCAAAAGCAUAUGUCGUUGGCUAAGCCCUCAUGAUGGACGACCUGCACGAGCCGCCUUGAAUUAUAAUUUCCAUUAGGCGGUGGACUGAAUCCUUUGCAGAAGACUUAAAUAUGCGAUGGGGUAUUAUAAGUGGCCGAGUGGCCUUGCUACUAUGAUCCACUAAGAUUCAGCCCUUCGUCGAUCUUAUUC
rnacentral:ncRNA from 1 species